GGGGGGGUAGCUCAGCGGACAGAGCGCAGCGAACCUGCAUUUGGUCUGUUAUCCUAAGAAAAGCGAAACGUACCUAGAAUGCCGGCUCCUAAGGUCAUGGGUUCGAAUCCCAUCUCUCCUA